GUGGUAUCAGAGCACGGUUUAGGCCUUUCUGGACCUAGAUAGUUUGCAUAUCAUGCAUUGCAUUGUAAGUGUUAAGAUGACUCUAAUGUAGAUCUUUUGAUUUGUUAUUUUAAUCAGAAUAUGGACUCCACAUUGUAAAAAGCGGUCGAUGAGGAGAUGGAGAGUCAUGCUCCAUCUAUGACUGAACCAGGAGACAGGAGGGAACCUGCUCCACCAGUACCAGAUGCAACAGCCGCAUUUCAGCAAAUGGCUGAGUUCUUUAGACAGAUGGCAGGAGUUAUGCCACUACCACCACCUCCACAUAAAAAAUCUCAUAUGGAGAAACUCAGGAAGUUCGGAGCAGUGGAUUUUCUGGGUAAAAGGGAAGAUUCUGUCACAGCUGAAAACUGGUUGGACAGAACUGGAAGAGUUUUGAAACAACUUCAUUGUACUCUAGAGCAGAAUUUGGAACCUACUGUAUCACUACUGCAAGAUGAUGCAUACCAAUGGUGGGAUACAGUGACUAGUGAGGUGCCACCAGAACAAAUAAAUUGAGAUUUCUUUCUCACUGAGUUCAGAAAGAAGUAUGUGGGCAGUGUAUACCUAGAAGAGAAAAGAAGAAAAAUUUAUUACCCUACGCCAGAGACAGCUAAUAGUGGCUGAUAUGAAAGAGAAUUUAUUAGACUGAGCCGCUAUGGGCGAGAAAUAAUCCCUAAUGAGGCAGAGAGAUGCAAGAGAUUUGAGGAAGGACUCAAUGAUAACAUUAAAGUAAUGAUUACAACCUUGGGGAUUACAGAGUUUGCCAAAUUAGUGGAAGCUGCACUGAAGGUUGAAAAAGUUAGAAUGAAUGAGCAGAACAGAAGGGACAGACAGCAGAAAAGAGGUUAGGGUCAGACCGGUACAUCUUCUGCCCCUCGCAAGAAAUUCAGAAGUUGGCCUACUCAGAGUUUCAGUAAAGCACCAAGUCAGGGUCAGUCACAGAGGCCCAAAUCUCAGUUUGCACCAAGGAGAGGCCAAUCUACACCUUCAGUGGCUAGCUCUCCAGGGACAGGGUUCAGGGGACUAGCCCCAACAGUAUCUGUUGCUUGCCCACAUUGCCAAAAAUGGCAUAAGGGGGAAUGUUGGAGGAUGAUAGGUGCUUUUUUACGGUGUGGGUCUACAGACCACCUAAUCCAAGAUUGCCGGCGCAGAACUGCUACAUCCACUCCAGUAUCAACUGAUAGGCCUGCCCCUCCAUCUCCAAGGGGUAGAAAGCCGGGUAAGGCUGAGGCAGCCAGUACUUCACCGAAACCUGUAUCAGAGUUUGUAGAGAGAGCAGAAGGUAGAAAACCAGCCAGAGCCUAUGCUAUAAGGGCACAGGAGGAACAGGAUGCUCCAGAUGUCAUCAAGGGUACGUUCCUCCUUUAUAAUACUUCUGUGCAUACAUUAGUGG
rnacentral:misc_RNA from 1 species